CCGCAGACGCCGCGGUGCACGCCUGGGCCCGGGCGCCAGGUACCUCGGAAGGCGGGAGGGAGAGCCUGCCUCGGCUGGAUGGACACAAAGCAUAGAGAGUCAUGGCCGCGGAGCGGGAGAGCGGGAGGGCAUCGCUAUGCUCAUUUUAAAGGCAGAAAACCGAGACAUGAGGCCGUAUUAGCCAAGGGAAAACAGCUGGAGAAGGACGAAGCAGGAGAUGAAAUCCAAGGACCUUUCAAACUCACACAGUUUCCUCUGAGAUCCUUUGCCUAAGAUCUGAUUCCCAUAGGAAGACCCCCCAAAAUUACUCAUAAAUAGGACUCUGAGUCUCUCCUCCAAAAAUUCCUUACUCUUCUUGCAACUUUCUAAAAGGUGGUUGGUUCAUCUUUUCCUCUCCCUUCAUGGAUUUCAUUUGCCAAAUCUAAUUAAUAAGUAAAUGUGUAAGUAUAUAACAGUUCUUUCUAUGAGCCAGAAACUGCGAAGGACUUCAUAACCGUGACUUCAUUGAUAUGCGCGGGAUACACACCCAUUAGUAACACUGUUAUCCCCAUUUACAGGUGAGGAAGUUGGGGCUUAUGGAAGGGAAGCAGCCUGCUCAUGGUGGUCCUGCUUGUACAAAUCUUUUAGCGAACAUAGGAUUUAAUUUUUAAAAAAAGACUCAGAAAAAGAAGAUGGAAGAGAAGAAACAAGAAAAGACCCCUUCUCUGCUCCCCCAGAAUUUCCACGCCCCUCCCUGCUGCCUUAGGGCGGGUGCUGUGGGUGAGGCGUCUCCCAGCAACCGUGGGUCCAUCUGUUUACUACAGAUCUGCCAGAAAGGACUCAUAGCUGUGGAGUCUUUCUUUGACCAGCCAAGGCAAUCCUUUCUAUUGCUGCAGUGAAGCUCAUCCUCCGUAGGCUUAUCUGAGCCCUUCCCUCCACUGAGACAUCUGGCGACGUUCGGAGGUGUUUUUGAGGGUCACAGCUUAGUGUGGCGCGUGUACCAUUGACAUCUAGGAGGUAAAGACCGAGAUGUUUUUCGAAGUCUCCCACUCCAAAGUUCACUGUUGAUCACAAGGAAUUGCAGUAAGGGGUCACUGUCCUGCUGUGGCUUACUCAUUCAGUGAAUAAGGGCUGAGCUGGUACUGCAUACAAGUCCAGUGCAGUCUUAGGUGCUGCCAGCCGCUGGCUCAGAUUCUGCCUUUCGAAGAGUUCACAUUGUGGUGGGAAAUGCUUCACACCCCACUUUUUAUUUAUUGAAUAAGCAAAUAAACAAAAAUCAAACAGAAACAGCCAUUUUUAACCUCAAAGAGGGUUAAUCUUUAAUCAAAGCUACAAAACCCAACCUAUCAAGCUGUAGUAGGACUUGCAUUAUUCGGGCCAAUUAAAUCUCAUUCUCAGGAAAAGAAAAUGUAUCUGGGUUUCAUCUUCCUGUCUCUUAUGAGAAAAAGGGAAAAGUAAUUUAAAAUUUUAUCUCUGGCAAUUUAAUGUAGGAGGAAACACUACAUAUAUGUGAUAAAAUAAAAAAUAUUGGAAGAAAGGAGUGAGGGAAGUCUAUCCAGAUGUUACAUAUCUUACUGUCUGUACAUACGGCUAACCUGAACUUUCCGAUUCUUUCUUUAGAUAAGCGAGCCAGUGACUGUGAAAACAGAGGCCAAUGUGUUUGUCUGUGUGUCUGGUUUGCAUGGAGCUAUGGAUACACAGGACAAGAGAUGUUAUGGAAAUAAUUCCCCAAACUCUUAAGUAAAACCACCUUACUUUCUUCUAUUCCUGUCUUAAGUGGAUGCAAUAAAACAUGGAAAAAUGGAAUAUAUACAUAGAUAGAUAGAUUUUUUUUGUACUGGGAAUAGAAUUUGGGACCCUGCACUUGUGAGGCAGGUGGCAGAAUCAUUGAGCUAAAUCCCUGGCCCUAAAAUACAUUUAAGAUUUUAUCACAAAAUAAGCUUCUAUUGGCUUCAUAUUAGAAUUCCUAUCAUUUACAUAGGAUCAUUCUUAAUUAGCAAUCAUAAAUGAUUAAAAGUCAUAUACGGACAGAAUGUAAACUCACAUCAUAAAAUGCUUUUACCACAUAUUUCCACAUUUUGAACAAGAGUCUUCAUCUGUGGAAAUUUAAACAGGCUUGAGCACAUACAAAUGAGAGGACCAAAGCUCACAUAAAACUACUUACCAUCGACCCCAGGGAAAAACUCUGGGAAUUAUAAACAUGAUACUGAUUUUUGUGAUGCAUUAAGAAUUAAGUAGAAGCUGGAGAGAAUGCAAAGCACCUUUAUAAGCAUAACUCAUCUAAUUUCCUCAUCAGUCUUAGAGGCAUAGAUUACUGUUACUCCCCCACUGUGCAGUCAAGAAAACAGCAGCUCAAAGAAAUUAAAAGCCUCAGCUGAGAGAGUAGAUCGUAGAGUCAGGAUUUUUCUCCUACUCUCAUAACUUUCUGAGAAAAAGAUGAGACACUCUUUCCAUCGCAAAUUUGAAUAUGUCACAAACUUUAAGCAAAAAUAUUUUUUCUCACUGAAAAGCAAACAAAAUUUCUCUGGAGAAAUGAAGGAAAGAUGGGCAACAUAUUCUAUGAGAGCCAUUAUUGUAAAAGCAUGCUAGAAUGCGUUAGAAAAAUCUCUUCCCUCUUUUCAAAGAUGCAGUCGUAAUUAUUUUGUCUUCCAUCGUUAGCUAUGUUUUCCGACGUGUUUUUUGGAUUUGAUGCUCUGCUUGGAGCACACCCAUAAUCUUCACGGACCUGUGGUCUCAUCUCACAAUCCCACUGCAGUUUCGGAAUGUGAUAAAUGAAGCUCAGAGAAUAAAAAUCUCCUGCCUAGAGUUCUCUUCCUUGAGAAAGAAAUUAGCCUCAGAAGUGAUGGCACAGGUGCUGCAGGCAGAGUGACUGAGUUCAUCAUUUGCUGUCUCUUCUGCUUCCGGCUGUAUGACCUUGGGUAAGCCACACCCUUCUCUCUCAGUUUCCUUUCCAUAAGAUAAAAAUAACAACAGUGCCAUCCCCAUCGCUUUACAAGAAGAGACAAAUGAGUUCGUACGGAAGUGCCCAGAGAAGCAUCUGACCCUAGACAGGUCAAUAUAGUCAUCUACCAAAAGACCAAGGAAGCUGGGCACAGUGGCA
ensembl:lincRNA